AUGGCGGAGGCAUCGUGGAGCAACUCCCCUCCGUCUGCGAAGCAUCACCAAGGUGAGGCGUCUGGCAAGGAGCCGCUGGUGGUCGACGACGACGUUCCGGUCCCCGGGCAGAAGCAGGACUACACCGUGCCGCUCAUGGUUGAUAUCCACCUGAAGAAGGAGAAGCUGGAUGUCGUAUGCACCAGCAAUCCAGACGAAGCCGACAAGAGGAUCCGUGAGAUCAGGAGGAGGCUCGGCGGCAUGCUUUCUCGGUCGAUCGGCGUUGAUGUCGAGUAUACGAGGGAAGACGAACCUCCGCAAAAGGCUGCAGUUCUACAGUUAUGCGUGGAGGAUCUCGUCCUGGUAUACCACAUCACCGCGGCAACCAAAUGGCCCAAGGAACUCCGCCCGCUCCUGCAGGAGAAGAAGCUGUACACCUUUGUUGGCUUCUCCAUUGGAGGUGACAAGGAGAAGCUAAAAUUGUCUGGUUUGGAGAUCAACCCCGACAAGUAUGUCGACAUGCAGCGCAAAUGGAGAGUUCCAAACAAUGGAAAGAAGUGGCAGGCUUUGGCUGAGUUUGCAGCCAGCCUCAUCCACCCAUCGUACUAG
rnacentral:rRNA from 1 species